rnacentral:rRNA from 1 species
GACGAACGCUGGCGGCGUGCUUAACACAUGCGAGUCGAACGGAAAGGCCCUGCUUUUGUGGGGUGCUCGAGUGGCGAACGGGUGAGUAACACGUGAGUAACCUGCCCUUGACUGUGGGAUAACUUCAGGAAACUGGGGCUAAUACCGGGUAGGAGCUCCUGCUGCAUGGUGGGGGUUGGAAAGUUUCGGCGGUUGGGGAUGGACUCGCGGCUUAUCAGCUUGUUUGUGGGGUAGUGGCUUACCCAGGCUUUGACGGGUAGCCGGCCUGAGAGGGUGACCGGCCACAUUGGGACUGAGAUACGGCCCAGACUCCUACGGGAGGCAGCAGUGGGGAAUAUUGCACAAUGGGCGGAAGCCUGAUGCAGCAACGCCGCGUGCGGGAUGACGGCCUUCGGGUUGUAAACCGCUUUCGCCUGUGACGAAGCGUGAGUGACGGUAAUGGGUAAAGAAGCACCGGCUAACUACGUG